AGAGUUUGAUCCUGGCUCAGGAUGAACGCUGACAGAAUGCUUAACACAUGCAAGUCUACUUGAACUUCGGUUUGGGUGGCGGACGGGUGAGUAACGCGUAAAGAACUUGCCUCACAGUUAGGGACAACAUUUGGAAACGAAUGCUAAUACCUGAUAUUAUGAUUUUAGGGCAUCCUAAGAUUAUGAAAGCUAUAUGCGCUGUGAGAGAGCUUUGCGUCCCAUUAGCUAGUUGGAGAGGUAACGGCUCACCAAGGCGAUGAUGGGUAGCCGGCCUGAGAGGGUGAACGGCCACAAGGGGACUGAGACACGGCCCUUACUCCUACGGGAGGCAGCAGUGGGGAAUAUUGGACAAUGGACCAAAAGUCUGAUCCAGCAAUUCUGUGUGCACGAUGACGUUUUUCGGAAUGUAAAGUGCUUUCAGUUGGGAAGAAAAAAAUGACGGUACCAACAGAAGAAGUGACGGCUAAAUACGUGCCAGCAGCCGCGGUAAUACGUAUGUCACAAGCGUUAUCCGGAUUUAUUGGGCGUAAAGCGCGUCUAGGUGGUUAUGUAAGUCUGAUGUGAAAAUGCAGGGCUCAACUCUGUAUUGCGUUGGAAACUGCAUGACUAGAGUACUGGAGAGGUAAGCGGAACUACAAGUGUAGAGGUGAAAUUCGUAGAUAUUUGUAGGAAUGCCGAUGGGGAAGCCAGCUUACUGGACAGAUACUGACGCUAAAGCGCGAAAGCGUGGGUAGCAAACAGGAUUAGAUACCCUGGUAGUCCACGCCGUAAACGAUGAUUACUAGGUGUUGGGGGUCGAACCUCAGCGCCCAAGCAAACGCGAUAAGUAAUCCGCCUGGGGAGUACGUACGCAAGUAUGAAACUCAAAGGAAUUGACGGGGACCCGCACAAGCGGUGGAGCAUGUGGUUUAA
rnacentral:rRNA from 1 species